rnacentral:rRNA from 1 species
UGGCUCAGAGCGAACGUUAGCGGCAGGCUUAACACAUGCAAGUCGAGCGAGAAAGGGGCUUCGGCUCCGAGUAAAGCGGCGGACGGGUGCGUAACACGUGGAUAAUCUGCCUCGUGGCGGGGGACAACAGUCCGAAAGGACUGCUAAUACCGCAUGUCAGGUCGGAAACUCCGGUUUCUGACGAAAAAGAGGGCGCCCCGCAAGGGGCUCUCACCACGAGAUGAGUCCGCGUCCCAUCAGCUAGUUGGCGGUGUAAUAGACCACCAAGGCUUAGACGGGUAGCUGGUCUGAGAGGAUGACCAGCCACACUGGGACUGAGACACGGCCCCAGACUCCUACGGGAGGCAGCAGUGGGGAAUAUUGGACAAUGGCGAAAGCCUGAUCCAGCCAUGCCGCGUGAGUGA